rnacentral:rRNA from 1 species
CCUACGGGUGGCAGCAGUGGGGAAUAUUGCACAAUGGGGGAAACCCUGAUGCAGCGACGCCGCGUGAGUGAAGAAGUUUUUCGGUAUGUAAAGCUCUAUCAGCAGGGAAGAAGAAAGACGGUACCUGCCUAAGAAGCCCCGGCUAACUACGUGCCAGCAGCCGCGGGAAGACGUAGGGGGCAAGCGUUAUCCGGAUUUACUGGGUGUAAAGGGAGCGUAGACGGUUAUGUAAGUCUGGAGGGAAAGCCCGGGGCCCAACCCCGGGACGGCUUUGGAAACUGUGUGACUGGAGUACAGGAGGGGCAGGCGGAAUGCCUGGUGUAGCGGUGAAAUGCGUAGAUAUCAGGAGGAACACCGACGGCGAAGGCGGCCUGCUGGACUGAAACUGACGUUGAGGCUCGAAAGCGUGGGGAGCAAACAGGAUUAGAUACCCGGGUAGUC